CUUUCGCCCAAGAAAGGUGAACAAAAUAGUCAUAUUCAUACUUGAUAUAAAAGCAUAGGAGGUUGAAUGAUAGAAUUAAAUGUGAAUAGCGUAAAUUGAAACUUUGAUGAAAGUGCAAGGGUAAAAAGUGUUAGUAACCAUUCCUAAGUGAACUCACUCACAACUACUGGGUGUUACAAAGUUGUACUACAAGUGAGCUUGUAGUACAAAGUACAAACUGUAAUGGUUCAUUAACUUAUAAAACUUAACACAAUUUAUAUAUAAGAGUGGGGGAGUGAGAGAGAGGAUGAUCAGGGCGGUUUUCGACAUUUGGGUUGUCUUAAUCCAAUUUCAAUAUAGUUACUUUCGUACUAUUAAAUUUCUUUCUUGAAUUUAAAUUUUUUUUGGAGGGCCUGAUGUUUGUUCUGCUUUGGGGUUGUCCAAAUCCAAUGCUUUGCUGGGCUUACCCCAAUACCGGCACGAGGAUGACAAGAAUUAGCAUCGGAAAAAAUCCAACGUAGAAUUUUUCUUCAAACUAUUCUAGCAGCAGCAAGAGUCGUAAAUGGAAAGGUCGUUUGCCAAGGACGUACAAGGUAAUUUACAGAACAAAUCCUUCCCAAGUAAGGCGGUUGUUUUUAUUUACUCUAUUUUUCUUCCCAAGUAAGAUAAGUUACAGAACAAAUCCUUCCCAAGUAAUCAAAUUUAACCAUUAGAUUACAAUUUAUGUGGACCACACACCUUUGAAAAGAUAAAAAUAAUAUUUUUGGAGAAAAAAAUAGUCUCAGGUCAGUCAUUAGAUUAAUUCAAAUGGAUUUUAACCAUAAAUAAUGGGAGAUAAUUUAAAAUAUUUAAAAACAGUUGUGUCUUAUGUACAAGUCUUAAUUCGUUUAUCAAUCCUUUGAAUACUUGAAUAUUUAUAUAUUUUUAUAUAUUUUAAAUGACAAAUACAAAUACGAUAGAUUCAAACACAGAUGCUGACGUGUCAAACACAUCUCAUUCUGUAGAAAACAAAUUAAACUAGCUAAGUUAAUAUGUGUACAUGUCCUAUUCAUUUUUCAAUUUUGUGAAUACUUGGAUAUUUAUUAUUUUUUAUAUAGUUUAAAUGACAGAUAUAAAUAUGGCAGAUCGACAGAUACUAUGUGUCACACAUCUCAGUCUACAAGAAAACAAAUUAAAUCAGCUAAGAUGAUAUGUGUUUGACACAUCAACAUCUUUAAAUUAAACCAAUUGAAUUAAUACGUGCGUGAAUCUGUAAUUUAUAUCUAUGCACCUAAGGGUAUGUUUGGCUGGUGGAUUAGGAGGGGAUAACUUUUUUCCUCGGAUAAUUUUUUCCCCCGCGUUUGGCUGGCGGAUAUGGGCGGAUAUGGAGGCGGAUAUAUAAAUUUUUCCCCCGGAUAAUUUUUCCCCUAGCAGGUGGAUAGAGGCGAAAAUGUUUAGGUGACCUAGAACCCUAACAAAAGUUAUCCGGGAAUAAGGGGGGUGGGGAUAGAAAAAAUAUAUAUAAAGAGAAACAAGGUUAAUUUUUUUUUAUAUAUAUAGAAAAAAAUAAACAUAUUAGAUUUUUAAUAUCAAGAUAUUUUACAUUUGUUUCUCUCAAUAUCUGUACUCCUUGUAUAUCACACCUUAUCCACUCAUUCUAAAAAGUAUCAAAAAUAAAGUUAAAAGUUAUCUCCCUUCAAAACUUAUUCCCCUUCUAAAAAUUAUUCUCUCUAAAAGUUAUUCUCCUCCGAUCCUCUAGCCAAACGGACCCCUAACCUCAAUCCAUCCCCCCUAGAAGGGUAACCUGGCUAUGAAAUUUCCAAAUUUAUAUAGCCAUUGGUCCAAAUGCAUUUAUGAAGGGCCCACAACAUUAAAUUCUAUGUUUUGAGGUUAACCUCAACUUGGCUAAAGCCGCUUCCCACGUGAUCCCGUGGAUGACCAAAUUGAAUGGUUGACAAUUCAUAGGAGGAUAGUUUUCGCAAACUUUGGUUUUUUCGAAUUGCACUUUUUUAUAUUUUUAUUAAAUAAAAUUACUUAAAUAUAUUUUUAUAUUAUUAAAAAUAAAAUAAUACAAAAUAUAAAAGUAUUUGGAUAAUUUUAUCUACUAAAAAAGAAAGUGCAAAUUAAAGAAACAGAAAUAAAAAAAUCAAGGACGGCCAUGUACCUAGAGUGAGUACAUUAAUAGAUAUCAGGUUCUAAGUUGCGCUAGCUAAAUUAAUUCAAUUUUAAAUUUAUUUAUAAUUUUUUUUACCUGAUUUUAUUAUUUUUAAUGAUUAAAAUUUCAUUGUUUUUUAUCAAAAUUAUUUAUCUUUGUCUUUUAGAUAAUUUGUUGAGUAUAACUUUAAUUUUUUAUAUUUUAAAAUUAUUUUUGUUAAGAGAAAUUAAAAAAUUAAAAAAUUUAAUUUAACGAUAAAAAAAUGACUAAAACAAAAGCUAACAAAACAAAAUAACUAUGCAAGACAAAGGCCGGCGGCCGGCCCCCUAUUGAAAAAUAGGCAUGCAUAAAGACAAGGGCAGCGCUAGCUAGACACGGUGCAUACUUGGCAGAGAUUAUUGUACGAUUUUUUUUGUUUUAAAAAUUGUAUCAGAGUAUUUGAUAUAAUUUUUAUUUUUAUUUUUAUUUGUGAAUUAAGAAUAAUUUAUAAAAAUUAAAAAAUAACUGAUUUUUUGAAAGCUUUAUUAUGAAAUUUUUCAAGUUAUGUUCAAUUGUAUUAAACACCCUCAUAAAAUAUGAAGUCUAUUCAUUUAAGGUGUGUUUGGAUAAAAAAUUUAUUAAAAAGAAAAAAGAAAAAGCUCCGGACUAAAUUAAAUUUUUGAGCGAUUGGAUUUACAAUGUUUCUUCUUUAAUUUUUUUUUUCCUUCAUUAAAUUGUUAAUAUUGAUAAAAAGAAUUUUUUUUAAAUUUAGGAUAUUACUAAUUUGACUGCUGUGUAAUUCACACUUCGUCUUGGUAAUUAGUUACUCCCACCCCUGACAACCCCACCCCUUAACGUGACUAAUAAAUUUUUUUAAUUUUUUACUUUUACCAUAAUUCCCCUACCAACUUCCACUUUACCAUUAACCAUUUAAUUCUUUUUUUUUUAAUACCACUGUUAUUUAUUAAAAAGAUAUUCAAAAAUUUUUAAUUUCUUUUAAUUUUAGCUUCCGAAAUUUUAUAAUUUCUUUUACUCCCACCUUAUAUUUUUAUAAAAAUAAAAAAUAUAGAGCAAGAUCUGUAAUAAUUUUUUAAAUUUUCUCUCAAUUUAUAAAAUUUAAUGCAAAACUAAUUAAUAUAUAUUUUUUUAAAACACUAAAGCGAAACAUUUAGAAUUUAUUCAACUAAAUAAAUUUCACUCAACUACAUAAAUUUUUUUUAAAACACUAAAGCGAAAAAAAAAAUAUCUGGAUUUUUAGCUUUAAUUUUUUUAUCUUAAAAAAUUUAUGUUAAUUAGUUUUGUAUUAAAUUUAUAAAUUGAGAGAAAUUUUUAAAAAAAAAUUACAGAUUUUGAUCCAUAUUUUUUUCUUUUAUAAAAAACUAGAUGUGGGAGUAAAAGAAAUUAUAAAAUUUUAUUAUAAAAAUUUUUUUAUAUAAAAAUUUAGAAGGUGAAAGUAAAAAAAAAUUAAAAAUUUUUGAUUAAAUUUUUUUUAAUAAAUAACAAGAAGGUAGUAUUAAAAGGAAAAAAAAUUAAUAGGUGAGAGAGAGAUGAGAGAGAUAAGAAGAAGGGUAAAAUUGAAAAAAAAAAGAAUUUUAUGGCACAUCAUCCCCCCCUGUCAGGGGGAUUGGGGAAAACAGUUCUCUUCAUCUUGGCACCACCAGGCCUGAAUUGGGACCAAAGUUACCAAAACACCCUCAUGAUCAUCCUUAGCCCUCAAAGUCCUAGAACAAUGAAAAGAUAUAUUUCAUACAUACAAUAAUACACUUGUGAUAGCAAUAUCCAUGACUCAUCGCAAGCACAUAUCUAGACAAAAAUUCAAGAAGAAAAAUGUUACUUUACUUAAAAUAUAUAUCAUAAUAUGGUACUAAAAGAUUCACAAUUAAUCAUGUUAUUCGGUAUUCAUCGGUUUUCAAGUCCUCUAACAGGUUAGUUAUCCCCAACCUGAGGCAGGUCUUGAUCUUUGUGGGGCCUUCCUUGUGCCUAUGUGGCGCGUGGACGAAGCUUCCCAUGAACCUAGAGUCCUCGGUCGGAUCGUCCUUGUCGUUGAUGAGCACAUCGAAUUGAAAUUCUACCUUGGAACCUUUUUGAAAAGAUGAGUUCCGACAAGGUUGAAUAUUGAAUUCCAACUAAUCACUAAUAAUUCUAUGUACUAACAAAAAAAGAUGAUAAUAAUAAUAAUAAUAAUAAUAUAAUUAUUUUAAAAAAUUCCCCAUAAAAAGAAAACGAACUUAUGAAAUUUUAGGUCCAAUUUUACCUCAGUGGUGGUUGAUGUUUUUUCUGCUGCCAUGGCCAAUUGCCUCCUCCUUCCUGGGCACUUUCAAACUGAUGGAGGAUCUGAACUGGAUUGCUGGACAGCACCAUUAAAGUCAAUGCAACAUCAAGGGAAAAAGAUUAGGUCAAAUUAAUAAAAUACUUAAUGGUGGGAACUGGCUCAAACUAUUACUUUAUAUAUUACUUUGGAGAAAACUCAUUUCAGUGGCAUAUUGAGAAAAAUAUAUCAAAUUAGAUGUAUAAUGCAAAAUUAUCUCCAAUAAAUGGAGACGCAGACAUCUAAAAUAAUAUUAUAAAUAUGAGAUUAUUCGUUAAAUGGCGCCAAUGAAGUGAGUGGAAUGAUUGUCUGAUGCAAAUAAAAAAGUGAAUAGUUGAAUAUUUUUUUAGGUAAAACACUUGCAUCUCACACUUAUUUUAUUUGUACGAGAUAGAUAAUUUAUUUACACUCAGUCUUAUAUUUUUUUAGAAAUUCGUUUAGUUGACGUUUCUUAAAACUUAUUUUUUUGAUAGUUUUUUUAAAUAAUUAUUUUUGAGAAAACAUUAGAUAUACGUUUUUAAAUUCUUGAAAACUAUUUUUAUUAGAAACUAAAUAACAUAUGAAAAAGGUAAAUGUUUAGAGCAUUCAUAUUAGUUUUACUAUUUAUUCAUUCUAUUUUUAAGAAUUUUUUUCAACCAUCAUAUUUGUUAAAUGGUCAUAUUAUUCCAACGGCGAUAUUUUUUAAAUGAUAUAUUUUUAAAAUGGUUAUAUUUUUAAGAAUGUCGUAUUAUUCAAACGGUUGUAUUUUUUAAAAUAUAUUUUAAAAUGAACAUUUUUUUGACUCAUAUAUUUUUAAUUAAAUGGUAUACAGAUAAAAAAACUAAUUUUAAAAAAUAAAAUAAUUUAAAAUAAAUAUUUUCAAUAAUUAAAUUAUUAAAUAUUAACUUUUAUCCAACUUGAUACCUAGCAGCCUAUCCUCUUACAGCGUCGGCAAAGACUAUGAAUUCUUGGGGACCGCAAAACUUACCCUGAUCCGACUAUAGCGCAUAUGUUCAAUAAUCAUGUUUAAUAAAUACAAAGUCUACUAGUGUAAGAAAUUAAAAUUAUAUCAUUUUUCAUAGUCAAGACAAAAGUAUUAAAAUUUUGCGCUCCAGUCUUACUGAUAGUGUAUCUAGUUUCAUCUAAGAUUUUGAACAAUAUAAGUCUAAUCUUUCGUGUGUAAGCAGUAUUCUUCUACACGUCAAAUUAUCUAUUUUUUAGAAUAAGAGACAUCCAUGCUUAAGUAUUAAAUAAAUAAUACAAAUACAAACAUUACUUACACAAAUUAUUAUUAUAAUGGAAUAAAUAAUUUAUUAAUAACACUAAAUUCAUUAAUAAUUGAAUAGUUUCUAUGAGUGAGUUGUCAAAUAAAACCUUAUCUAGUCCAGAUUGGGAUGGGCCCACUCCCUUAUCGUCAACCAUCGGAUGAGAAAAUCUAACACGUGAAAGAAAUAUACCAUACUGGUAGUGGUCCUGCCUAGGGAUGGCAACGGGCCGGUUGGGCCUCCCCCACCCCCACCCCGACCCCGUUUAUCAAAACUCACUCCCGCCCUCGCCCCACCCCGCCCCAUUUAGUAAUUUUAUUAAUUAUAUAUAUAUUUUUUUAUAUAAUUAUGGUAUAAUAUAUAUAUAAUAAGGAUAUUAUGAUAAUUUUUUAAAAAUCUGAUUAAUUUUUAUUUUUUUAUAUAAAUCGGGGAAACUCGGGCGGGUUUCGGGGUUGGAGGAGGCUUUUACCCCGCCCCGCCCGUGUAAUCGGGUGUUAAUUUUUUCCCCAAACAGCCCUAAAACGGGACCGGGGCCUGACGGGACGGGUUCUUAGGGUCAAAUUGCCCAUCCCUAGUCCUGCUCUUUGGUACCCGAAUUUCCACAAAGCAUAUUCUUUUUUUUUUUAAAUAAAAUGAUGUGAUGGCCACAUUAUUUAUGUGCUUAUGCUAAGAUGCCAAAAUUAGCUUUAAAUUUUUUUUUGAGAAACUCAAUUUAGAUUCUUUUUAACUUUUAAUUUAAAUAGUCAAGUAUUAACGAAUAUUUAGCUACAACAAACACCCAUGACUAGAUUUAUAGUCUCUACCUUAGUAUUAUUAUGGUUUUUCGCUCACGAGAGCCAAAAUGAAUAUUUAGUGGGAUCAAAAAAAUUAAAAUUUAUAUUUUGCGAGAUUAAAAGAGUUAGAAUUUAUGUUCAGUGGGGUUAAAAUUAUAAAAUAUAUAAAUUUUAUAAUAAAUUAUUAAUUUUUGUAAGGUCAAAAUUAUAUUUAUGAUAAAUUAUAUUAAAAAAAAUGAUAUAUUUUUUUUCAAUGGGGUCAAUUAACCCCACUUGCUCCUACAUGACUCCGACACUACUUUCGCCCAAGGUGAACAAAAUGAUUAUAUUCAUAUUUGACUUAAAGUAUAAAAUGUUAAUUGACAAAAAUUAAAAGUGAAAAGCAUAAAUUGAAACUUUGAUGAAAGUGAAAGGGUAAAAAGUGUAAGUAACCAUUCUUAAGUGAACUCCCAACUACUGGGUAUUACAAAGUUGUACUACAAAUGAGCUUGUAGUACAAAGUACAAACAGAGAUGGUUCAUUAAAUUAUAAAACCUAACACAAUCCCUAUAUGGCAUUGGAAAAAAACUGUCGAAGAUUUUUCUUCAACCUAUUCUAGCAGCAGCAAGAUUCGUAAAUGGAAAGGUCGUUUCUUUGUUAGCAUUCAAGCCAAGGGCGUACAAGGUAAUUUACAGAACAAAUCCUUCCCUGAUUGUUUUUAUUUACUCUAUUUUUCUUCCAAAGUAAGGUAAUUUACGGAACAAAUUCUUCUCUUGUAAGGUAUUUUAGUCAUUAGAUUACAACUUAUGUAAGCUCUACACUUAAUAAGAAAGUGAUAUUUUUUGAGGAAAAAAAUAGUUUCAUGCGAAAUCUCAGCUAGUGGAUUAACUCAAAUAGAUUCUAACAGUUUGAAAGAUAAUUUAAAAAAUUUAAAAAUAUUUAUGUUUUAUAUUAUAGAUAUGUACAAGUCUUAAUUCGUUUAUCGAUCCUUUGAAUACUUGGAUAUUUAUAUAUUUUUUUAUAUUUUAAAUGACAGAUACAAAUACGAUAGGUUCAAACACAGAUGUUAAUGGGUCAAACACAUCUCAUUCUAUACAAAAACAAAUUAAACCAGCUGGGUUAAUAUGCGUACAAGUCUUAUUCAUUUUUCAAUUCUUUGAAUACUUGGAUAUUUAUAUAUUUUUUAUUUAUUUUAAAUGACAGAUAUAAAUACGGCAAAUAGACAUAUACUAAAUUAUAUGGUGUGCAUUUGGAUUAAAGAUUCAACAACUUAUACUAUUAAAUCGUUGAAUACAUAGCCCGAGAGGCUUGUUCAUCACAAGUGGCUUACAGUACGAAAAACAAAUGAAAUAAGAAAAAUGCUACUUCUACAUAAACCAUACAUAAAAAAUCUCACAAAACGAUGCAAUGGUGACUUAUUUUAUUUUUAAAUGAAACAUGGAUUCACGUUCU
rnacentral:lncRNA from 1 species